rnacentral:tRNA from 1 species
GGCCGGGUAGCAAAGUGGUAAUGCAAGGGCCUGCAAAGCCUUUAUUCGCCAGUUCGAUUCUGGCCCCGGCCU